rnacentral:rRNA from 1 species
AUUGAACGCUGGCGGCAGGCCUAACACAUGCAAGUCGAGCGGGUGAAGGGAGCUUGCUCCCUGAUUCAGCGGCGGACGGGUGAGUAAUGCCUAGGAAUCUGCCUGGUAGUGGGGGACAACGUCUCGAAAGGGACGCUAAUACCGCAUACGUCCUACGGGAGAAAGUGGGGGAUCUUCGGACCUCACGCUAUCAGAUGAGCCUAGGUCGGAUUAGCUAGUUGGUGGGGUAAAGGCUCACCAAGGCGACGAUCCGUAACUGGUCUGAGAGGAUGAGCAGUAACACUGGAACUGAGACACGGUCCAGACUCCUACGGGAGGCAGCAGUGGGGAAUAUUGGACAAUGGGCGAAAGCCUGAUCCAGCCAUGCCGCGUGUGUGAAGAAGGUCUUCGGAUUGUAAAGCACUUUAAGUUGGGAGGAAGGGUUGCUGAUUAAUACUCUGCAAUUUUGACGUUACCGACAGAAUAAGCACCGGCUAACUCUGUGCCAGCCGCCGCAGUAAGAC